CAGGAGCCCUCCCGCGACAGGGCCUUGGUUUUCAUGCGCAGCCUUCGGGGCUCUUGGAUGCGAAGCUGUCACACAGGGCUGGCACAGGUAGGCUCCUGGGUGGCUCAGAGCAAUGGCUAUGUUGGUUUUGGACAGGGUCCCCGUGGAGCAGUGCUGACCCCCCCACCUUGUUGAGUGGUGGCCAACGCCCCUUCACUGCUGACUUUCCCACCUCCUCGGUGUUGCUGGGUCAUCUGGAUGGGCUGUGAGACCUGCUGGGGGCAGUGGACAAACCAGGGCCCCAACUCCUGUGUCCUGGCAGCCUCAGGAUGGCGGAGGGAGGAGUCAGAGGGUCCCCUCUUCUCCAGGUCUACCAGGGAGAGCCUCUCAGAGCUGCCAGGGGCUCUUCACAGUAGACAUGCCCAGGCGUAUAUACCCCAUCCUCGCCUAUUGCUGUUGGUCUUUUGUCCCAGUGAGCAGUGAUGGAAUAGAUCACAUUGGACACAUGUCAUCACACUGUUGUGCAAGCACGUUCCCAAAGCAGCUCCCAGCAGUCAGGCUGCUAGCAGGGUCACAGGUAAGCACCUCUAACUCCCUGAUAGCAACAGAUUCCCUUUCUAUUGCUGUUUGAUCACUUGACUGUUUUACCAGGACUGAGAGUGCUUAUUUCCCCACAG
rnacentral:lncRNA from 1 species